rnacentral:rRNA from 1 species
UACGUAGGGUGCAAGCGUUGUCCGGAAUUAUUGGGCGUAAAGAGCUCGUAGGCGGCUUGUCGCGUCGGCUGUGAAAACCUGGGGCUCAACCCCGGGCCUGCAGCCGAUACGGGCAAGCUAGAAUUCGGUAGGGGAGACUGGAAUUCCUGGUGUAGCGGUGAAAUGCGCAGAUAUCAGGAGGAACACCGGUGGCGAAGGCGACUUCCUGGCCUGUUCUUGACGCUGAGGCGCGAAAGCUAGGGGAGCAAACAGG